UAAACAUCAUUUACGUAAGAAAGGUUUCGAAGCCCCAAAUCCCCUUGAAAUUUGGAGGUUUCUUAACUCCUUUUCGUGGGAGCCAUGGAAGAGAAAGAUUGGGAUGACGAGGAGUGCGAUGACACUCUCACCAUGACCACCGUUUCACGCCACUGUUUCGGCGACGAUUCUGAAUCUCCGAGCUUCUCCAUCUCCAUCAUCGAGAACAUGAAGGAAGAUUAUGGCCUAUUCGUCUGGCCCUGCAGCGUAGUUCUUGCCGAGUACGUGUGGCAGCAGAAGCAUCGGUUUUCAGGCGCCACCGUAGUUGAGCUAGGUGCUGGAACUUCCUUGCCUGGCUUGGUUGCUGCAAAACUCGGUGCUCGUGUCACUCUUACAGAUAACUCCACCAGAUUAGAGGUGCUUGACAACAUGAGAAGAGUUUGUGAGUUGAACAAGCUUGAGUGCAAUGUGUUGGGAUUGACGUGGGGUGUUUGGGAUGCACCGUUAUUCAGUUUACAGCCCACACUUAUUCUAGGGGCCGAUGUGUUGUACGAUUCAAAUGCCUUUGAUGACCUCUUUGCUACUGUGACAUUCUUGCUCCAAAAUUCUCCUGGGUCGAUUUUUAUAACGUCAUACCAUAAUCGAAGUGGGCACCACCUUAUUGAGUUUUUGAUGGGAAAAUGGGGCUUAAAGUGUUUGAAACUUCUUGACGGGUUUUCCUUCCUUCCACCCGACAAAGCAUCACUACUAAGCGGUAACAUUCAAUUGGCAGAGAUAGCUCCUAUCUCAAAAGAUAAUGCUUGAGGUAGCUCAAAACUGUGAAAAAAAUUAGCAGUUUUUUUGGGUCGGGCGGCUGUUGUUAUAUAAAUUCUUGUUGCUCUCUUGCAUCUCAUAUCUAUAUGAUCAAGAAAUUGUUUAGGCCAUGAUCACGCUACAGAAAUGCCUCCUAAAAUGGAUAUCAUAUCAUACUUUUCUGCUAUACAUUAGAUGAAGAAAAAACUAUUUCUUUUUAUUUUGUGGUUCCUUAAUCUUGAGAAAUGGUGUAAGGCAAUAAUCUUUGUGGAUGGGGAACUGGGAUAGCAAUUGUUGAUGAAAAUUUUAGUGUUUUUAGUACUACAUGUUUUUGAAAUAUAUUUGGGCUAGGUUUAAUUUACAUCUAAGAUCACUUGGUGUGUUGUUACUCAUUUGUAAAAGGAUGUUUACAGGUUGAUAUUUGCAGUGCUGUCAAGUGGCUAGAGCCUGAAAACCACAUAUAAUUAUUGAGUUGAUUAUUUAAGAAAAUUUUCUUUUGCAAUGAAGGACACAGAAGUAACAAGCAAAGGAAACUGCGCCUCAGAUAUAGGAAUGUAUGCGGUAGUUAAGGUUGAGCCAUCGUAAUUUUUGUUUUUUCUUUUUGUGCCAAAGCUUGCAUUGCAAGUCUUUGUUAGUUAUAAUGGUAGCCAGGUCUUAUCAAAACAACAAUUAUUAUUGUAGGAGCUUUCCUGCUUAUGUAAAUCAUAGUUCAGAGGAAUCUAAUUAUUAACAGUACUAAUUUGUGUCCAGACAGUCCGGUGCAUUUGUAAAAAGCAAAUAGUAAAAUGAGAUUUUCUUUAUGUUUAAGAUGAAAAAAAA